rnacentral:lncRNA from 1 species
CUCUACAGUUCUUUCAAUUGUCGUUUUCAGUUUUCCUUCAGUGGGCAAGAUAUCAUGCACCUCAUGUGGUGAUGAAUUAUAGAUUGAGCGUCUUAUGAAGAACAGAAAUUUAUUGCUCAGUUUUGGAGGCUGGAAAGCCCAAGAUCGAGAUGCAUGCCAAUGCAGUGUUUAGAAGGAUCUUAUUCCUGGGUCAUAGAUGGCUAUGUUUCCCUUCUCUGUCCUUACAUGACAGAAGGGGCAAGGGGUCACUCUGUGGUUUCCCUUAAAAGCACACAAAUCCUAUUCGUGAGAGCCCCACUUGACUUCAUCACUUCCAACCCCUCCCCCACCACAUACUACCAAUUGGGAUUUCAGCAUGUGGAUUUUGUGGGAUCACAAACCUUCCAUCUGUAGCAAGCCCAGAACGGCCAGUCCCAUCCUUCAGUCCUCAGGUAUCGAAGGGUGAGGGUUAGGGUCAGGGAUGGAAGAGGCUGGUGAAGAAUUAACUUCAUCUUCUGCUGAAGAAGUGACUAAAGCUGCUCUCUUCUUCUCCCCACGUGGAAACUGCAUUGUUGUUCUUGAGAAUCCAGAUUAAUCGCCUUUCCCAGUAGACAUACACACACACACCCCAAACAUAAAACCUAGUCAGACAAGGCUAGAAGGAGGGAGAAUUUUCUUAAGGCAUCUAGAAAGGUGAAUCCUAAUUAAGUGGGGAAGUUUUUCUGCCUACCCACAAUUCUUUAUUUGCUUAGAUGGGGCAUUAAAAUCCAAUCCUGUACAUCCACUAGUAGGAACCACCAGAAUGAAAGAAAAGUAAUAAUGGAAAAAAUACCAUUACAUUUGAAAUGCAUUCACUCUUGAUUUUGGUGGCAGCCUUUUCUAAUAUUUCUACUGGUCAUCGUGGAUACUUUAGGACUCCUUUACUGAGUCCCGUACCAGCACCGUGUUUAUUUCCCAAAGCCAGCACCUUCAGAUCCUGACUUUAGAGUUCUCAGAACAAGCGCAACAAAGGGGAUUCUGGGGAGAAGGGGGUGAAUUUCCGUAUACAAACCUAGAGAAACUAUCUACAUCUCCAACACAACUAGGUGCCGUGGAGUCAUCAUAAGCCCCUAAACAACAGGUGGGGCUGAAAUACCAGCAUGAUAUUUUGUGUGAUGUCAGGCACUGAUGUGGGAAGGAGAAGGAUGUACUAGAGAAAAGAAGAUAAGCUCAAAGUAGCUGUCAAGUGUUCCUUGGACAGGGCAGAUGGUCAAUGUGAGACCAUUACCUGAACUGUGGUGAUGAUUCUGUUUCCAGGCUAAUAGUGGUGAGCGCCAGGGUUCCACAGUAACUCCUUAGUUAGUAACUCCUAACUAAGGAGUACCUCUUGGGAGUGGUUCAGAAACUGAGUAGGACUAAUGGAGCCGAAGGAAAGAGACAAUCCAGGUAAAAGUAUGGGAGAGAAACAGAGUCAGGAUACCUCAGAAGUAUGGCACCAGAUUUUCCAUACUCCGUGAAAACAACAGAAGAGGGGACACUCUAAAGGUAGGAAAACUCUUGAACCGCAGUUCCUUUGAGAAGCUAAGGAAGAUGAGCAAGCAGUAAUGAUCAAGGCUAUCUUCUCAUACGACAUUAUUAUAGGGAUAAAAAAAGAGAGGGGAUAGACAAGAAUGGCACCCACACAGAUAAAGCCAGUUCUCAAGGUGAAAUGCUCACCAAAAAGAUAGAAAUAAAAUCUACGCUUUGUGAUGAACCGAAGAACAUUAGGCAAUUUGUAUGAUAAAAAAAUGAUAACGUAAAUCAAAAAAAUGAAAACCCAGACAUGAGUUGUCAUAAGUCAGAAAAGAGUCAGAAAUACCAGAAAUCAAAUUGGAAGAAUUAUAAGAGCCAAUAAACACAACAAAUACUGCCUCAAGAUAACGAGGUGAAAGGGAAGACACGUUUAAAAGUACAAAAUGUAGGAAAUCUUUAAAAACUUCAGUGGAAAUAUCAAAGGCUAAUCAUAUCCACUAUAUAGGCCAUAAGAAGAAGAUAAGUUCGGGGAACAGAACUAAAACUAGAGGGCUAUUUUUAAAAUACUUUUCUGAAGUGAAAAAAAAA